AGACGGAGGGAGCAAGCGUUGCUCGGAAUCACUGGGCGUAAAGGGCGUGUAGGCGGGACAGCAAGUCGGGUGUGAAAGCCCUGGGCUCAACCUAGGAAGGGCAUUCGAUACUACUGUUCUUGAGUAUGACAGAGGAAAGCGGAAUUCCCGGUGUAGCGGUGAAAUGCGUAGAUAUCGGGAAGAACACCUGUGGCGAAGGCGGCUUUCUGGGUCACAACUGACGCUGAGACGCGAAAGCUAGGGGAGCGAACGGGAUUAGAUACCCCAGUAGUCC
rnacentral:rRNA from 1 species